CAAACAAUGUCAUUCUGUUCAGGAGGCAAUGCUGCAGUCAACUUUGCCGCGCCAUGAAAGCACAUCACCAGCGAGCAAGAGGCUCAGAGUGAGUGCAGAGAAGUUUUCCUCCUCUCCUCUCUGCGAGCGAUGCCGCGAAAGACUCACCUCUAGGAGCAGGCUCAUACACCCCGGCCGGCUGUUGGUGGCGUGUUGGAACAUGCCUUGACUUGUUGUGCUGCCUGACUGAAGCAGAGAGAGACGGACGGCCACAGAGAGAGACAGAGAGGGAGGGUGAGGGAGGCAGCAGAGGCUGCUUAUCAACAGCUUUCCAGUGUGUGAGGUGACCCACACGCUGGGGGGGAGCCCGGCGUGACACCCCGUGGACGGACGUCUGCUGAUGCCAGCGGCGGAGUGCGCUCGCUUGGGGAUGAGGGUGGAUGGAGGAGCUGUGCUUGCGGCCUGAUUUUCCGGCUGCCCUCAGCACCACGCCGUCCUCAGGAGGAGGGGCUUUUUUUUUUUUAGUGAUUUCGUUGCCUUCCAGCAACCACCACCACCACCAGAACCAUUAUCAGUGGAAAUGAAAACAGUGACCAGACUCACAGGUGACCAGGUCAGGAUCCUGCUCCGGGGAGGCUGGGGCGGAAAGAGACGGCUGCUGUGGGUGUUUCUCUGGCAGUGUCUUAGCUGGUUGUUGUGAGGAGUGAGAACGAAGCAAUCAGCAAGUAUACUGCCGCAGAAAUUCUUCGCAAUAAGAGGCCCUGGGGGGAAAAGAGGAAGAGGACAAAAAAAAGCACAUUUGCUCCUUAGUGAAUAAGGAUCCUGCUUCUGCUGUAAGUUUUUUUUUUUUUUUUUUUACCUGAUGCAGAGUUAAUUAAAGACAGAUUGACUCAAAGCACGGCCUUUUUUUGUUAACAGCCUUGACAGUAUCAGACUUCUGCGCCGUGUUCUUGAGCCUCUGCUGCCAUCUUCUGACUGGAAGCCACCCCCCCCAUCAUGCUUUUUGUUCAUUAAACACUGCACCAAUAUGUAAAACCUACACUGUAUUAUAAUAUAUUUUUGAUUUUUGAUUUGACUGUUCAUUAAAAAAAAAAAAAACAUGGCUUCCCAUGUUUUAAUUAUUUUCGAGUAAAUGCAUGUUUUUUUUUUUCCAUCAAAUUCUGGAUGCUGACAAAUUAAAAUAUGAUUGAUUCUCAAUUUAUCCAUCACAGCCUGUUCAUUGUUUCUUGUUAGGAGUUAUAACUGUGCAAAAGAAGGUGGUGUUAAUAAAAGUUACAAAAAAAGUGAUUAA